rnacentral:rRNA from 2 species
UACUAAGCGGAGGAAAAGAAACUAACAAGGAUUCCCCUAGUAACGGCGAGUGAAGAGGGAAAAGCCCAGCACCGAAUCCCACAGCCUUGCGCUGUCGGGAACUGUGGUGUAUAGGAAGCCUACUUGUCGGCGUGUUCGGGUACCCAAGUCCUCCUGAUCGUGGCCUCUCCCAUAGCGGGUGUCAGGCCCAUACAGGCACCCGACGGCGUCGGCUUGGAGCUUCCUCGGAGUCGGGUUGUUUGGGAAUG